CUCAGAGAAACCCAGUGUCAGUGACAUCAUUAACCUUGAGAUGUUGCACAUUGGAGGAUCUAAACUGAAAUCAAGUAACACACAGUCAGGCUGGUCCUGUCCUUCCUGUACAUUCAUAAAUAAGUCUACGAGACCCGGCUGUGAAAUCUGCAGCACAGAUCGACCGAAUCCUCUCAAUCACAGCAGCGUUCAGCAGGAACAAGCAAGAAGAUCGAACCUGUGAAACUCAACAUACCAAGAUAUUUUGGACAAUGCUUUGCUCUAGCUUUAUGGGAUCAGUUUGAGGAAGGUUCUCUUCUAUUCCAGCAUGACUGUGCCUCAGUGCACAAAGCAAAGUCCAGAAAGACAUGGCUGGAUGAGUCUGGUGUGGAUGAACACAACAGAUCACAAAUGCUCAACUGGAUGAAUAAGCAAAAAUGCUUGUUUGAGACAUGACUCCAAAUGGGAUGCUAAUUCUGCAGAUGAUUUUCAUUCCUCUCCUGUGG